AGAGUUUGAUCCUGGCUCAGGACGAACGCUGGCGGUGCGCCUAUGCAUGCAAGUCGAGCGAAGCUUUUCAGUAGUUUACUACAGAAAAUGACUGAGCGGCGAACGGGUGAGUAACGCGUGAGCAAUCUACCUUAGUUACAGGGAUAGCCCGAGGAAACUCGGAUUAAUACCUGAUAUUCUUUAUAUUUCGCAUGAAAUCAAAAGGAAAGGUCAGCCGAACUAAGAUGAGCUCGCGUUCUAUCAGCUAGUUGGUGAGGUAAUAGCUCACCAAGGCAACGACGGAUAGCUGGUCUGAGAGGACGAUCAGCCACACUGGGACUGAGACACGGCCCAGACUCCUACGGGAGGCUGCAGCAGGGAAUAUUGCGCAAUGAGCGAAAGCUUGACGCAGCGACACCGCGUGUGGGAUGACGGAUCUAGGUUUGUAAACCACUUUCAGGAGGGAAGAAAAUGACGGUACCUCCACAAGAAGCCCCGGCCAACUACGUGCCAGCAGCCGCGGUAAUACGUAGGGGGCGAGCGUUGUCCGGAUUUAUUGGGCGUAAAGAGCUCGUAGGCGGUUCAACAAGUCGGUCGUAAAAGUUCAGGGCUCAACCCUGAAAUGUCGAUCGAUACUGUUGUGACUAGGAUACGGUAGAGGUGAGUGGAAUUCCGAGUGUAGCGGUGAAAUGCGUAGAUAUUCGGAGGAACACCAAUUGCGAAGGCAGCUCACUGGGCCGCUAUCGACGCUGAGGAGCGAAAGCUAGGGGAGCAAACAGGAUUAGAUACCCUGGUAGUCCUAGCUGUAAACGAUGGAUACUAGACGUAGGAACUGGAUUGACGGUUUCUGUGUCGUAGCUAACGCGUUAAGUAUCCCGCCUGGGGAGUACGGUCGCAAGACUA
rnacentral:rRNA from 1 species